GCUCUCAAAGAGCAUGUUAACUUUUCAAAAGAUUCGGUUUUCUAAUGUUUAACAGAGUGAAAGGGCACACCUUUCAGUUCAGUUCCACAAAUACUUCUCAAGCAACUUCUGAGUAGUGUGGGAAUCUAGAGAUGGGUAAGACUAUGCACUUGUUUUUAAGGAGGUUGAUCUAAUAGAAAAUGAAAGCAGCAUAAAGACCAGAAUAUAUUACAGAACAAACAAGUGAUACCAAGAUAUUGAUUCCAACGAGAAUAUGAGGAUAGAAUAGUGCGUGAACAUUUUGAGCAAGGUACGGAGGACUUUAACAGAAGAGGAUGAAGAGAACAAGAAUAUUUAGGUGGGGACAUGAUUCAAAGAUACUCAGGUGGUAAAAUGAAGAAUUGUUUAUGCUCCAGGAUGUGGUUCACUGAGGCUACUUGGUUGGAGGGGAUGAGGCAGCACGUAAUAGGAAGGGAUCAUGAAAGCAUUUAAAAUAUGCUUUGAUUGGAAUCCAAACUUCACGCCGGAUUCUGUUAAAGAGUGCUCAGCCCAUCCAUGUGAUUAUUGAUAUAUGCUUCACUCGCUGGAUUGGAAAUUCCACAAGGCUCGGGAGUGUUCAGAAGACCACAAAGCAUUUCCAGGGGCCAGGGAGUGAACUUGGAUGGUGUCCUACAGAUUUCAUCGAAUUAACCUUUUAAGGUUAAUUUAUGUGCCAAGACUCAAAAGAGUAGCUUCCCUGCACAGAAACGUCAAAGAAAAGUUCCUGACAUUCUCAAAAAGAGAUGGAUAAGGAAAAGAAUGAGCAGGAGGGAGAGAAUCUUCAUAUUCAGUGAGGUCAAGAUAUGAAUGACCUUUAGAGUUCUUAUUUUCCACAAGAGUAAAACCCCAAUCCAUCCAAAAUGAUGAAAAGUGAGUUCUGCUUUCAACUGGCACCGUCUCCUUAGCUAAUUUGCUGAAAGGUAGUGUGGGUGGGAAAAGGCAGCUGAGAGAGAGGGUUACGUUUCGUCCUUUCAUAAUUCCCUUCGGCUCACCAGGUAAAUGUAUACUUCAAGAAAAAUCUAUGUAAUGUUUUCACAUAAAAAGAAAACACAGUUGGAAAGUAAUUCAGAUUGUGUAUGGAUUUAGAGAUGUGGACCAGUAUUUCAGAGUUCCCCAAAUUUAUGUAAAAUAAGGCUAUAAAACUUGUUUAUCUAUCUCUCCUUCAACUGAUACCCUGUGCUAUCCGACUUCCAAAUUUGAGGCCCUUUUGUCUCUCGGUAGUUUAUUCUGCCAUCUAGUAUAAUUUACUAUUAACAUCUAGAAGUGUGCUUCUCCUUGACUAUAUUGUGUUAUGAAUCAAAAUGAAAUCCCUCCUUGUGGUCGCUAAACCAGGAAGGAGGAAAUCACCACCCAUGGAAUCUAGCAGAGUUUUGAAACAAAGGAAAAGUUGUGGACUUCAAGCCAGUUGGAUGAACUUUUCAUGCACUUCCCUUUCCCUAACAGCGGGGCAGGGAUGCGGGGGGUGGGGAGGGGUGGGAAAUACCACUAGCAUCACCUCCUACAAAGUUGAGGAUUACAGCAAAAUAGGCAGCCGAGAGGAGCAAUAGAUAAGAAAUAACACACCCAGCCAGAAAAGCAGGACUUUGAAAAAACACAUGAAAGAGACCCAAAGAGAAACGAAGCAGGUAUUGGAGAAGCAAGGUUGUGGAGGAGAAUUAAAACGGCACAUUUCUCUUCUGAGCUUGAUUUAGACUUUGGCAGUGCAUGCAGAGAGCCCUCACUCAAGAAUUAUUGUGCUAACAGGACUUUGUUACUUGGCACAUUGUAGGCUUUAUGUUUUGCUAAUAGUCACAACCACCCUAUAUUUUUAUCUUUUAUUCUCAUUUAACUGAUGAGGAAACCGGCUCAGAGAGAGUUAAGCACCUUGCAGAGGGUCACCGCAAGUAGGAGAACAGAAUUAGGAUUUGAACCUAAACAAGAUGUCCAGAGACUCUGUGCCACGCCAAGGAAGUUUCUCUCAUGUGCCCAUAGGUCUCAGACUUGGUUUUCAGCACAUUUUCCUUCUUUCUCCUACACUCUCCUGCCUGAGAGGAUUUGGAAGACUGGAGAAGAGGAACUGGAGUCCAUGAGGGGAAAGGGCACCAUAACCCAACAGAAGAACAAGGCUCACCUCCUGUCCAGGCCUCCGGUUUUCAUUUGUACAACGAAGGAAUUUGCUUGUACGGUUCCUACUGCCUGCUGAUUUAGUCUAAGAAGCACGGCAUAUGUAUAACAGAUGGAGAACUUUCCCUGGGAAAUUUGACCACUUGAGUCAGAGGAGAAAAUGCGCCCAAACCCGAAAUUCCACAAAACUUGGAGAAUAUUUGCACUUGCCCUUGAAUGUAGUUAACUCAAAAGUGUCCCUUGCAAGGUUCUCAUCAACUGAGCGAAGUGCCUUCAUUUUGCUGGGUUUAGUGAAGAAUGAGUCUAGAAAGAGGCCAUGGGGAUAGUGUGUUUUACAACCAGACCCCUAUCCCCCCAUCUUCCAAGGAUGAGCGGAAAUUGUUCCUUUCUGUCCUCUCUCCUGAUGCCGUUUUCUCUCACCUGGUUUCCUCAUGACUCUUAGCUAAGUCCCAGCUAGUGACUCUUUAUUGUGACACAGGUAACACAGUUGGAGUUGGUGAAAAUUUUUGAAAGAACUAAAGCCCAUCUGAUUUGUUGAAAAACAAAAAUAUCCAACAAUGAGGUGAAGAGACCUCAUUUCCCCAUUAUUCAUCCAUUUAAUAUUUCCCGAGUACCUUCUGUGUUUCAAACAUUUUUCUAGUUGUUUGGGAAAUGUUAGUGAAUAAUGUGGAUCGAAAUGGCUACCCUUGCUUUAGGUGUGUAAAUGUUAUGGGAAGAGUGGAUCAGGGUGUGAGGGGCGAGCAGAUUACAGCACUGGGAAGUAUAGGGAAGCCUCCUUGGGAAGUUGAGAUUGGGCUAGGAAUUGAAGGAUCUAGGAAUUGGCUAAGUGGCUAUGUGGGAGAAUAAUCUAGGCAAAGGGACAGCUAGAAGUGACGGUUUGAGUUGGGAGCUUGGUCAUACACUUGAGGAACAGUAAGGAAGCCAGCAUGGCUGGUGCAAGGAGAGAAAAUAAUGGGCGGGAAAGGAAGACAAAGAGAAAGGGGCCAGAUUGGACCUUUGUAGGUUCUUAUAAGGAUUUCAGCUUUUAUUCUGCAUGGAGAGCCAUUGGAGGGUCUGAGCAAAUCAGUAACACCACCUGACACUCCAGCUGCUGGGUACAGGUAGGGUGGCAUUGGGGCAAGAGUUUGUAGGGAGAGCAAAGGAAAUCAAGACAACCAGUUAGAGUUUAUUGCGGAAAGUCGGGGGAGAGUGAUAAUGGCUUACACCAGGCCAGAGUGGUAACAGCAAGUGGUGGUAACCAGGAGUCAGAUUCCGGAUAAUUCAAACAGCACAAAAUCCUGGGAGAUUGGGGAUGAGAUGUGAGGAAGAGAAAAACCAUUGAUCAAGAAGACAUUAAAUGUAAGCUACUAGAAGGAUGGAGUCUCCAUCAACUUAGACACUUGAGAAAGUAUGUAAACUAAUGUGGAAGGAUUAUUUGGGUUUGGGGAAAUGUUUGCUUAAUGGAAGUCUUCCAAAUGCAUCCUGAGUGGAGCUCCUCAAUUACACCCAUAGUUGCAUUAAGUGGUGGCCAUGACUGGUAGAGCAAAGGAGACUGAGGCAGAAAGGAGGUGAAUGAGGAGUGAGGGAUAGAGUAACAUUUAUUGUGUUCCAGUCACUGUAUGAGGCCUUUUUUUUUUUUUUUUUUUUGGUCUUUUUAAGGCCACACCUGUGGCAUAUGGAAGUUCCCAGGCUAGGGGCCAAAUCGGAGCUACAGCUGCCAGCCUACACCACAGCUCAUGGCAACACUGGAUCCCUAACCCACUGAACAGGGCCAGGGAUCAAACCCACAUCUUCAUGGGUACUAGUCAGAUUCGUUACCACUGAGCCGUGAUGGGAACUCCUGGCCUCUUUUUUUACAAGAAAAAUUAUUUAGGUUUAAAGUGUACAAUGUGAGUAUGAAAUAAUGCCAUUUGCAGCAACAUGGAUGAACAUAGAAGUCAUCUCACUAAGUGAAAUAAGACAGAGUAAGACAAAUACUCUUAGAUAUAUGAGACACUAAUAUGUCCAGUCUAAUAAUGAUGACACAGUAGAACUUGCAAAACAAAAACAGACUCAAAGGUUUUGAAACCAAACUCAUGUUUACCAAAGAGGAAAUGAGGGGAGGGGAAGGGUAAUUUAGGGGCUUGGGAUUGAUGUAUAUACAUUGCUAUAUAAGAAAUAAAUGGGUAACUAGGACCUACUCUAUAGCACAGGGAAACUUACUCAAUGCUGUAUAAUAACUUAUAUGGGAAAAGAAUCUGAAAAGGAAUGGAAGGAAUGGAUAUAUGCAGACAUAUAAUUGAUGUACUUUGCUGUAGGCCUUAAAUUAACACAACUUUGUAAGUGAACUAUAUGCCAAUAAAAUAAAAUAAAAAUU
rnacentral:lncRNA from 1 species